AUUCCGUGCUGCGGACAUUUUUUCGACAUUUCCUUAUACCAUUCCCAUGUAUCAUAUAAGGAUUUAGAUUCUAACUGGCAGAAAGAGGAGAUGUCGCUUCUGAGUUU